rnacentral:tRNA from 1 species
GGAUCUUUAGCUCAAAAGGUAGAGCAAUUGAGAAUGCAAAUCUCAAGAGAUGGUGGUUCAAACCCAUCAAGAUCCU